UGAGAUCUAUUUAUUACUAGUACACUGUGCACGCAUGACAAUCUGUCUAGUAGGAGUAUUUGAUUUGACCUUAAGUAGUUUAUGUAUUUUUUUUACAGGAUGGCAUGCCAUAAGUAUUAGCUUUACUUAAGGAAUUCUAUCACCAAACACUGUUACAGGGAAAUGAAAUAAACAGAUGAAAAAUAUCAACAAUACUUUUCUGGUUAUUAUGCUAAUACAAUAUGCAAAAUACAUAACUUACUCUAUUCAUUUGUGGCAAUAUUGAUAUUGUUGAUAUUGUUCACAGACUCUCAAUGCCGCUGUGCACUGAUGGGUAUCGAACGGGGAGAAGCAAAUUAGUUUGAUCACUGUGUAAUAGCCCAUAUAGUGCCUGUGUACCUAUACUAUACCAGGAAAUACAGCAUCCCACUGAAAUACUCAACAACAGGUAUGUUUGUGUUGGUAAUAUUGUCAUUAAAGGUAUCAAAUUUAAUAUGUGUCUCUGUCACACAAAAAACAACAAGGAUCAAAAUGUCUGGUUAAUGAACACAAUUCCAGCAAAAAACACUGACAAAACUCUAUUAAAGUUAUCACUGAAACACUUAUUUACCUAAACACAAUACCUAAGUACACAUAAACAAUGCUACAUACAACAUAUUGUACUGGACUACUGCAGUACCAGAGAUAUACACAUUAUAGUUACGUACAUUUUGGUAUACUUUACUAAAGAGCUGUUCCUCAUGAUAUGCUGUAGGACACAUGUUCUGUGUGUGCAACAGCUCAAUGGUAACAGCUACAUAAACGUCACAAAAUUAUACAGGAAGGUAACAAAAUCAUACUUGAAGGUCAAAUUAUCAUUCAUGAAGAUCACAGUAUCAUACAAUGUCUUGAAGGCCAACCUAUCAUACAAGAAGGUCACAAAAUCAUACUUGAAGGUCACACAAUUGCAAUCAUACAUGAAGGUCAAACUAUCAUAUAUGAAGAUCACAGUAUCAUACAAUAUCAUGGAAGUCAAACUAUCAUACAUAUAGGUCACAAAAUCAUACAUUAAGGUCAAACUAUUAUACAUGAAGGUCACAAAAUCAUACAUGAAAGUCAAGCUAUUAUACAUGAAGAUCACAGUAUCAUAUGUAACAGGGAUAUAUAUAUUUAUUGUGUGUAAGACUUUGAAUGGAUUUUAAUAUCAUGAAAGGUCUUGGUGUAAGGAACCUUAAAUGGUUGGUUGGUAGUAUAGUUGUGUGAUGAAAGAAUGUGGUGCGAGGACCCUUAAUGUUUGUGUGUUACCUGUAUGUAAGAAUGUAUGGAAUGUGAGUACUUUUAGUCACAUGACAUCAACGGACAUUUUUAAUGGUCAUAGCUAACAACUGCAUGAUUUUUAAUUUAACUAAUAUCACUCAGCACCAAGGCGUUGAAGGGUAUAGAUCGACUUUUGAUAUCAGAAGAGAUUUGAAGUAUUACGAAUAUAGAGAACUGGUAUGACAUGGUUAACACUGGGUAUACAUAACAACUGCCGGUCGUACGACGAUUAUUAGGCAAAGGGAUUUGUGUAAACCCCCGCAGGAUCUGUGGGGUAAGUUUGAAGUGCAUUAUUUUAUAUGUAGAGAUAUUUUGUAAAUAAUAGUAUAAGGUAAUUUCAUAUCUAUUGUAUAUUGAUAUGUAAAAGUAAAUUCGGUAUUAUUGAUAUGUACAUUGUAAAAAUAAUAUUAUAUUUUUACAUGGAGCGAAUCAAAAACUAUUCUAAUGUACUAUUAUGCAUUAUUGUGAUAAUUGAAGUAUAUGUACGAGUUAUGUCCCUUGAUGUAAAUAGAUUCUGUGAGAGAAUUGAGUGAAUGUGUAAUGUGUUGUAUUUGUACUUGCAGGGUUUUUUAAACCACAGAAUAAAAGGCAUAAAAGAACCCAACAGUGUUUUGUGGAUUUUACACACGAAUAUAGCACUGAAACACAUACAUGAAGGUCAAACUUUCCUACAUGAAGGUCACAAUGUCUUACAUGAAAAGGUCAUUGGAUACUACAUGUCCAACUGCUCGGCUCCAUGCACCUUUGGAUGUCCUAUGAUGUCUGAAUAUGUUAUCUGGAAGCUUACUUAAUGUUUACUUAAUGUAUAUAAACAAACACAAUCAACAAGGAAGUUAAAAAGCAACAAUAUUGAAGGCAGCUGGUCAGGCUACGAUACAUAUUACCCCGCGGGACACAGUGAUACAUACUGUAGCACUUUUGGCUACAAUACACAUUACCCCGCGGGACACAGUGAUACAUACUGUAGCACUUGUGGCUACAAUACACAUUACCCCGUGGGACACAGUGAUACAUACUGUGCACUUGUGGCUACAAUACAUAUUACCCCGCGGGACACAGUGAUACAUACUGUGGCACUUGUGGAUACAAUACAUAUUACCCCGCGGGACACAGUGAUACAUACUGUGGACUUGUGACUACAAUACAUAUAAACCCGGGGGACACAGUGAUACAUACUGUGGCACUUGUGGUUACAAUACACAUUACCCCGCGGGACACAGUUAUACAUACUGUGGCACUUGUGGCUA